rnacentral:rRNA from 1 species
UACCCGAGUAGUCCUAGCUGUAAACUCUGCGAGCUAUAUGUUGCGUAUUCUUCGUGAAUGCGCAGUGUCGUAGCGAAGGCGUUAAGCUCGCCACCUGGGAAGUAUAGUCGCAAGGCCGAAACUUAAAGGAAUUGGCGGGGGAGCACUACAAGGGGUGCGGCGUGCGGUUUAAUUGGAUUCAACGCCGGGAAACUUACCAGGAGCGACGGCAGAAUGAUGGUCAGUCCAAAGGGCUUACCAGACAAGCCGAGAGGUAUUGCAUGGCCGCCGUCAGCUCGUGCCAUAAGGUGUCCUCUUAAGUGAGGCAACGAGCGAGACCUAUACCUACAAUUGCCAACUGCUUUUAGGACAGGGCACAUUGUAGGGACUGCCUUGGAAACAAGGAGGAAGGUGUAGGCUACGGUAGGUCUGUAUGGUCCGAAUCCCCUGGGCUACACGCGCGCAGCAAUGGUAGAGACAAUGGGAUACGACUCCGAAAGGAGAAGUUAAUCCUCGAAACUCUAUCUUAGUAUAGAUCGAGGGUUGAAACUCACCCUCGUGACAAUGGAAUCCCUAGUAAUCAGACGUCAAAAUCGUCCGGUGAAUAUGUCCCUGCUCC